UACGGAGGGUGCAAACGUUGCUCGGAAUCAUUGGGCGUAAAGCGAACGUAGGCGGCUUUGUAAGUCGGGUGUGAAAGCCCUCGGCUCAACCGAGGAAGUGCAUUCGAAACUGCAAGGCUCGAGUAUCGGAGAGGAUAGCGGAAUUCCCGGUGUAGAGGUGAAAUUCGUAGAUAUCGGGAGGAACACCAGUGGCGAAGGCGGCUAUCUGGACGAAUACUGACGCUGAAGUUCGAAAGCGUGGGGAGCAAACAGGAUUAGAAACCCCCGUAGUCC
rnacentral:rRNA from 1 species